GAGUUUGAUCAUGGCUCAGAUUGAACGCUGGCGGCAGGCUUAACACAUGCAAGUCGAGCGGAGAGAGGUAGCUUGCUACUGAUCUUAGCGGCGGACGGGUGAGUAAUGCUUAGGAAUCUGCCUAUUAGUGGGGGACAACAUUUCGAAAGGAAUGCUAAUACCGCAUACGUCCUACGGGAGAAAGCAGGGGAUCUUCGGACCUUGCGCUAAUAGAUGAGCCUAAGUCGGAUUAGCUAGUUGGUGGGGUAAAGGCCUACCAAGGCGACGAUCUGUAGCGGGUCUGAGAGGAUGAUCCGCCACACUGGGACUGAGACACGGCCCAGACUCCUACGGGAGGCAGCAGUGGGGAAUAUUGGACAAUGGGCGCAAGCCUGAUCCAGCCAUGCCGCGUGUGUGAAGAAGGCCUUAUGGUUGUAAAGCACUUUAAGCGAGGAGGAGGCUACUUUAGUUAAUACCUAGAGAUAGUGGACGUUACUCGCAGAAUAAGCACCGGCUAACUCUGUGCCAGCAGCCGCGGUAAUACAGAGGGUGCAAGCGUUAAUCGGAUUUACUGGGCGUAAAGCGCGCGUAGGCGGCUAAUUCAGUCAAAUGUGAAAUCCCCGAGCUUAACUUGGGAAUUGCAUUCGAUACUGGUUAGCUAGAGUGUGGGAGAGGAUGGUAGAAUUCCAGGUGUAGCGGUGAAAUGCGUAGAGAUCUGGAGGAAUACCGAUGGCGAAGGCAGCCAUCUGGCCUAACACUGACGCUGAGGUGCGAAAGCAUGGGGAGCAAACAGGAUUAGAUACCCUGGUAGUCCAUGCCGUAAACGAUGUCUACUAGCCGUUGGGGCCUUUGAGGCUUUAGUGGCGCAGCUAACGCGAUAAGUAGACCGCCUGGGGAGUACGGUCGCAAGACUAAAACUCAAAUGAAUUGACGGGGGCCCGCACAAGCGGUGGAGCAUGUGGUUUAAUUCGAUGCAACGCGAAGAACCUUACCUGGCCUUGACAUAGUAAGAACUUUCCAGAGAUGGAUUGGUGCCUUCGGGAACUUACAUACAGGUGCUGCAUGGCUGUCGUCAGCUCGUGUCGUGAGAUGUUGGGUUAAGUCCCGCAACGAGCGCAACCCUUUUCCUUAUUUGCCAGCGAGUAAUGUCGGGAACUUUAAGGAUACUGCCAGUGACAAACUGGAGGAAGGCGGGGACGACGUCAAGUCAUCAUGGCCCUUACGGCCAGGGCUACACACGUGCUACAAUGGUCGGUACAAAGGGUUGCUACCUAGCGAUAGGAUGCUAAUCUCAAAAAGCCGAUCGUAGUCCGGAUUGGAGUCUGCAACUCGACUCCAUGAAGUCGGAAUCGCUAGUAAUCGCGGAUCAGAAUGCCGCGGUGAAUACGUUCCCGGGCCUUGUACACACCGCCCGUCACACCAUGGGAGUUUGUUGCACCAGAAGUAGCUAGCCUAACUGCAAAGAGGGCGGUUACCACGGUGUGGCCGAUGACUGGGGUGAAGUCGUAACAAGGUAGCCGUAGGGGAACCUGCGGCUGGAUCACC
rnacentral:rRNA from 1 species